CCUUCUGCCUCCUAACCUUGACUGAAUGUCACAGUAUCGAAACUCUUAACCAAACCAGUGCCCCGGGUCAUUCUCUAAAUGGAUGGAGUGCAUUCCUGAGGACCAGAGGCUUCUGGCUGGAGCUUUCCUGAUCUUUGUCCCUCCAGUGGUGCGACAGGAGCAGCAAUCAGAGUGCAGAAAGAGGAGAGAAGUGUGGAUGUAGACAAAAUGCCCUUGGAGUAUGAAGGCAAAGAGUGAAAAUGGCUAGAAUUUACCUGGUGUCAUCAGAGAAGAUGCACACAUCUCACUUGCGUUUAUUCCUUCCUUCUUCCUGCCUCCCAUUCUUCUCAUCUUUUCUCCCUGUUUCUCUCUCCUCCUCUUUGUCCUCCUCUUUUCUUGUAAUUGAUUUUGGUUUAAUUCAUCUUCCAGAUAAUGCCCUCCACAAAGUUUAAGAAGUGAAUUUAGCCAGUUUUAAAGAAUGUAGCCUGAGAAUUUCCCCCAAAUAAAAUAACAUACCUUCUUCUAAA